rnacentral:tRNA from 1 species
UCCCUGGAGGACUAGUGGUUAGGCCUCAGCACUCUGACCACUGUGGCCCAGCUUCGAUUCCCAGCCAGGGAA